rnacentral:rRNA from 1 species
GGAGUUAGCCGGUGCUUCUUCUGUGAGUGAUGUCCUUCCUGCCGGUUAUUGACCCGCAGGCCUUCUUCCUCACUGAAAGUGCUUUACAACCCGAAGGCCUUCUUCACACACGCGGCAUGGCUGGAUCAGGGUUGCCCCCAUUGUCCAAUAUUCCCCACUGCUGCCUCCCGUAGGAGUCUGGGCCGUGUCUCAGUCCCAGUGUGGCUGAUCAUCCUCUCAGACCAGCUACGGAUCGUCGCCUUGGUGAGCCGUUACCUCACCAACCAGCUAAUCCGACAUAGGCUCAUCCGAUAGCGCGAGGCCCGAAGGUCCCCCGCUUUCCCCCGUAGGGCGUAUGCGGUAUUAGCCUGGGUUUCCCCAGGUUAUCCCCCACUACCGGGCAGAUUCCUAUGCAUUACUCACCCGUCCGCCGCUCGCCACCAGGGAGCAAGCUCCCCGUGCUGCCGCUCGACUUGCAUGUGUUAGGCCUGCCGCCAGCGUUCAAUCUGAACCAAGAUCAAAUUCNGA